GUCAGAGUGAGGGAGCAGAGAGCGGAUUUCUCCUGUGAAUUGCUUCAUCUGAACCUCUAGUAAAGAGUGGCGAGUCUACAGCCUGUCCAGUAGAUGAUAUUAACCAUCAUAGUGGAAGGAAAGCGUCAGCUCUGCCCUCCAGAGGCACACAGAGAGGCACACACACCCUACAACACACACAGCAGGCUUUUCAACGUGGCAUCAGGAAGCCAGAGCCUGUCCUCCCUCUUCAUAGUAAGCCCCAGCUAAGCCCCUGUGAGUCUGGAGCGGUGUGCAGGGCCUCUUACGAAGCUGGUCAGAUCUGUGCUCUGCUGUGGUGGAUGUGGUGUGUUCAGACAACCGGCCUGAUGAACAGUGUGGUAGGUAAUAUUAUCAAUGGGGCAAGUUGUGGAAUCACCUGGGAGAUAGCUCUGUGAGGGAGUUUCCGGACUGCGUUCAUCGAGGAGGAAAGACCCACCUUAACUGGGCAGCCCCAUCCAACUGACUAAAAAGAAGGCAAGAGCUGAGCACCAGCAGCGUUCAUCUCUCUCAGCUUCCUGACUGCAGAUGCACAGACUCUGACCAGCCGCCUCACCCUCCUUCUGCAUGAACUCUGUCCUCCAACUGUGAGCUACAAUGAGCUUUUAAGUCACCUUUGUCAACCAUUCUGUCCCACACUGAGAAGUAACUAAGUAACAGGAAAGGUUUUAUUCAGCAUGCAAACCUCUGAGAGCUGAGCCCUCCCUCCUGGAAGCAGCAGAGCCAGAGGUCAAGGUCAAAGUGCCUGGUUAGAAUCCCUGCUUGGCUGCUUACCCCAGCUCUGCUUCUGGGAUACAGUUAUUGCCUUUGUGUUUGUGGAGGUCCUCAUCUGUGACGUGGGACACCGAGAGCCUCUCUAUCACAGGGUAGUUUUGAAGACUGAGGAACACUUGCAAGUCAACCUAGGAAAAACUGCCCAGAAGGCAAAAACUGCUCUCACUGUGAGUUUUCAGGAGGGUCUUUCCAUGGCUGUUGGGGAUUAUCGACUCCACGAGAUCUACCCUUCCCUUUGCUGUGAGUUCCCAGGGAUGCGUAUUCCUGCUUCGCAGCCUGUCUGCUCCGCCUGACCUCGCAUCCUCUGACUGUGAGCUGCUACUUUUCUCAUCUGCUAACUACCCUUCCACGUGACUUUGCCAUAACGUGAGCGCACAGCUGCUUCGAGGGUUGUUACGUGAAUCUGAAAUGUCCUACAUGCUCAAGCUUUAGGUACUUGGUCCCCAGCCACGGUGCAGUUUGGGGAUGUUCUGGCAACUUUGGGAGGUGGGAUGUAAUUGAGAGAAAAUCACAUCAUCUCUGCCCCCCAGUUCGCUAACUUGUCAGGGGAACUGGUGCACAUGUCUUCCCUCCUGUGGCAGCCUAAACCUUGUGAUACCUGGGAACCCAAAACAAUCUUUCUUUCCACGAAUUGUUUGUUAGUGUGCUCCUCACAGCGAUGCAGAGGUGACUAACGCGUGAACGUGUUUCUCCUCUGAAAUCUUAAAGUUGACCCACUGUUAGUCUCAUCCCUACAGCAUCACCCCACUCUACUGUUGUCUGUCUGCCUUCAUCUUGUUCAGGCUCUCAAAGGGUGUGGGCACUGACAAGGGACAAUGUGUCCAGAGUACCGGCAACAA